GAUGAACGCUAGCGGCAGGCUUAAUACAUGCAAGUCGAGGGGCAGCAUGAGUGUAGCAAUACAUUUGAUGGCGACCGGCAAACGGGUGCGGAACACGUACACAACCUUCCUAUAAGUGGGGAAUAACCCAGAGAAAUUUGGAUUAAUACCCCGUAACAUAAUGAUGUGGCAUCACAUUAUUAUUAUAGCUUCGGCGCUUAUUGAUGGGUGUGCGGCUGAUUAGGUAGUUGGCGGGGUAACGGCCCACCAAGUCUACGAUCAGUAGCUGAUGUGAGAGCAUGAUCAGCCACACGGGCACUGAGACACGGGCCCGACUCCUACGGGAGGCAGCAGUAAGGAAUAUUGGUCAAUGGACGCAAGUCUGAACCAGCCAUGCCGCGUGAAGGAUUAAGGUCCUCUGGAUUGUAAACUUCUUUUAUCUGGGACGAAAAAAGGCGAUUCUUCGUCACUUGACGGUACCAGAUGAAUAAGCACCGGCUAACUCCGUGCCAGCCGCCGCUGUAAAAC
rnacentral:rRNA from 1 species